UCGCGCCUACCUCGUAGUCCUACCCUGUAGGACUUACCCGGGAGGUGCGGGUAAGCCUGCCGGCGGCCCACCAAACUCUGUUUGAUAUUGAAUUCUGAACCUAUAACUAAAUAAGUUAAAACUUUCAACAACGGAUCUCUUGGUUCUGGCAUCGAUGAAGAACGCAGCGAAAUGCGAUAAGUAAUGUGAAUUGCAGAAUUCAGUGAAUCAUCGAAUCUUUGAACGCAUAUUGCGCCCAUUAGUAUUCUAGUGGGCAGGACCGUUCGAGCGUCAUUUCGACCCUUAAGCCUUAGUUGCUUAGUGUUGGGAGCCUACGGCAACGUAGCUCCUCAAAGUUAGUGGCGGAGUUGGUUCACACUCUAGACGUAGUAAUUUUUUAUCUCGCCUAUUAGUUGGACUGAUCCCCUGCCGUAAAACCCCAACUUCUAAAGGUUGACCUCGAAUCGGUUCAGACAAACUCGCUAAAUUGAAGCAUCUUAGUCAGCGAAGGAAAAGAAACCAACAGGGAUUGCCCUAGUAACGGCGAGUGAAGCGGCAACAGCUCAAAUUUGAAAUCUGGCCCUCGGGUCCGAGUUGUAAUUUGUAGAGGAUGCUUUUGGC
rnacentral:rRNA from 1 species